GGGGUGAGUGUGAGGGGCGGGAAAUCUGUGGACUGGGGACAGCUCCAAAACCCGGGAGUAGGCUGAAUAGCUGGGGCCCCCGACUCCGAUCUGGGCUCUAGGAGCGUCUUUGGUGCUGUUGGCCCGGGCCUCGCUUCCCCCCCAUUCCCGGCCUUCCGGGCUUUCUCGCCAGCAAGGCCGGAAGGGAGCGGUCCACCUGCAGCCCAGUGUUCUCAGGCGCCUGAGCCCCGGAGGUCAAGCUUACUGGGUUCCCCCUCUAUAGUGAGCUGGAGUACAGACAGCAGGAAUCUCAGUCCCAGGUUUCUGCUUUGGAGGACAAAACCCCAAACGGACCUGAGCGGACGUCCUGUUAGCGGGUGGUGCCUGGAAGAGCCUGGGGUGAGGAAUGCAGUGAGAAGGGUGUUGCAGUUCUUCAGGAGAGAGAAAAUGAUCCACAGUCUAUUUCUCAUAAACUGUUCCGGUGACAUAUUUCUAGAGAAGCACUGGAAGAGCGUUGUGAGCCAGUCUGUCUGUGAUUAUUUCUUUGAAGCUCAAGAGAAAGCUGCUGAUG
rnacentral:sRNA from 1 species